rnacentral:rRNA from 1 species
UACGUAGGGUCCGAGCGUUGUCCGGAAUUACUGGGCGUAAAGAGCUCGUAGGUGGUUUGUCGCGUUGUUCGUGAAAACUCACAGCUCAACUGGGAGCUUGCGGUCGAUACGGGCAUCACUGGAGUUCGGCAGGGGAGACUGGAAUUCAAGGUGUAGCGGUGAAAUGCGCAGAUAUCUUGAGGAACACCGGUGGCGAAGGCGGGUCUCUGGCAUUAACUGACGCUGAGGAGCGAAAGCAUGGGAGCGAACAGGAUAGA